rnacentral:rRNA from 1 species
AGUGAACGCUGGCGGUAGGCCUAACACAUGCAAGUCGAACGGCAGCACAGUAAGAGCUUGCUCUUACGGGUGGCGAGUGGCGGACGGGUGAGGAAUACAUCGGAAUCUACUUUUUCGUGGGGGAUCACGUAGGGAAACUUACGCUAAUACCGCAUACGACCUACGGGUGAAAGCAGGGGAUCUUCGGACCUUGCGCGAUUGAAUGAGCCGAUGUCGGAGUAGCUAGUUGGCGGGGUAAAGGCCCACCAAGGCGACGAUCCGUAGCUGGUCUGAGAGGAUGAUCAGCCACACUGGAACUGAGACACGGUCCAGAGGCCUACGGGAGGCAGCAGUGGGGAAUAUUGGACAAUGGGCGCAAGCCUGAUCCAGCCAUACCGCGUGGGUGAAGAAGGCGUUCGGGUUGUAAAGCCCGUUUGUUGGGAAAGAAAAGCAGCAGGUUAAUACCCCGCUGUUCUGACGGUACCCAAAGAAUAAGCACCGGCUAACUUCGUG